GACGAACGCUGGCGGCGUGCUUAACACAUGCAAGUCGAACGAUGAUGCUCCAGCUUGCUGGGGUGGAUUAGUGGCGAACGGGUGAGUAACACGUGAGUAACCUGCCCCCUUCUUCGGGAUAAGCUUGGGAAACUGGGUCUAAUACUGGAUAUUCUGCAAUUGUCGCAUGGUGGUUGUGGGAAAGAUUUUUUGGUGGGGGAUGGGCUCGCGGCCUAUCAGCUUGUUGGUGGGGUGAUGGCCUACCAAGGCGUCGACGGGUAGCCGGCCGGAGAGGGUGACCGGAGAGAAUGGGACUGAAACACGGCGGGGAGGGGGACGGGAGGCAGCAGUGGGGAAGGUGGCACAAUGGGCGGAAGCCGGAUGGAGGGAGGCUGCGUGAUGGAUGAUUGACAUCGGUUUGGAAAAGUCGAUCAGCAUGUAUGUUGUGUAGGUGAGGGUACCUUAAAAAGAGGCGCGGGCCAACUACGUG
rnacentral:rRNA from 1 species